rnacentral:lncRNA from 1 species
AAAACUAACUCUUUUUGUGUAUGUCCUCCUUCACUAUUUGUGACUUCCUUAGGGAAUGCCCUGGGUCUUUAUCGGUGAGAUCCUGGAUGAUGUCCACCAGGCUCUAGCUGUGAGUGUCACUGCGGCGAUUUAGGGCCUUUUUAUGGAUGUUUAAAGCCACCAUCAAGAACCACAGACUCUAUAAACUUAUGGUAGACUCGUACAAAAAAAAAUUACAAUCUUCACAGAAAGGUAAUUGAAAAUCUCACUAUUUGUCUUUCUGGCACGAAUUUAAGCUACUCCAAUUCACAAAAAUGAAGAUAUAACCACUUGAAAAAUGACAACAAAUCUUAAACCUAGCGCAGUGUAUAAUCUGAUGCCGCCGUAAUCCUUAAGGACUCCUUUGAGACCUUUACCUAAUUCCAAGUUUAAAUGAAUUACAAGGUUAGACCAUCAUGGGAUCUGGCUUCACUCAUUGUCUAUGGAGUCACUAUUGCCAGAAUUUUUAAUUAAAUGUAUUGCACCGACUGCUGGUUAAUGAAUACAGAUUUUGACAAAAUUACCGACCACUCAUCUACUAUGACGUUAAUAUUAAGAUUGUGGAGAAGUCAAACAUCUGUCGUAUCCCAUGUCCGUUCAUUUGAGCAACAUUUAUUUCAGCGAGGGUCAUCUUAGCAACAUUCAUUUGAGAAAGUAUUCAUUUGGGCAAGCUUCAUUUGAGAAACGUUCAUUUCAGCGACAUUUCUAUAUUAGUGGUGUUCAAAAUCAAAUGGGAGAAGUCUCGAAGGAGCAACUGAGGUUCUUAUUGGAUUUCAUCUCAGAAGCGUAACCUUAUGUGGAGGGAUGAAUUUACAAAACAUAUUGAGUGGGAUGGCAUUCAAACACUUUGAUCGAUGGGUCAUCUAGGAGUAGGAUCUUCAAAAAAGGAUUUGAAUUCUACGGUCAUUUUCGUUGUCCAAUGUUGUGACAUUCUUUCUUGAACAAGGCUUCACUGGAGUUGGGACGUGUCUUUUUGUGUGCUUUUGAGUGGAUGAUAGUUAAAUUCUUGCGCCAAAUGAUGAUUUUCUUUAAUUGACUAUUAUGUUCAUUGGUUUUUA